rnacentral:lncRNA from 1 species
AUAAAGUCCCCUGAUUUUGUAAUAGGUACAUUUACAAUGAAAACAUUCUGUGAGAAUCCUGAUUCUAUGUGAUUCCUAGACAAUGAAUUGGAUAAAAACAUGUAUCAAAAAACAUAAGGGAAAUGGACCUUUCUGAAACUACUCUUAUUAUAAAACUGCACCCAACAGACAGCUUUCCACAAAAUUCCUGCUUUGAAAAAGGAAGGCUGCUUUGAAAGAGGUUUAUGAUGACAAGCAGAAUCACUCUCUGAGGCCACACUACACUGACUUCUGCAGGUGUGCUAUUUCAUGAAAUAAACAUUGUGCUGUUCCAGCCAUCCCUAGGUGACACAAAGGUCCAGGACAUUGAUCCUUGGGUAGACACUCAAAUGUUCCUUAUCAGACUCAGUGAUACUUACAAAAAGACAUUUCUCAAAUCCUGAAAGUAAACAUGUGGAAUCUGCUGCAAGUAGAAAACAAAGAGGGAAUGUGUUUAUUUUACCUCUUAAAGGAGGACCUGUUUGGCAAACUGAAGGCUUUGUGGCUGUAGAAUUGUUACAUGAUUUGCAUAUACUUUUCCUAACAAUGGAGAAGAAAAAACAAUACUUGCCCUUCAGUGCACUUGUCAAGAAGGAAGACUGGAUAUUUUACCAAGUUAUGCCAUAAUUGUU